GAAAUAUAUUUAAUUACCCCAAGUCUUUCUUUCCUUGAUUUCUUGUAUUAUAUUUCUAUAUAGCUGGACCAGACAGAAGACUACAGUUCAAUAAGAAGGAAACACAUUCAUUUUCAGUAUUGUUAAUAAAGAAGCUUACCUAAAAGAAGGAAAUCAAAACAAGGAAAUAAAACCUUCAGCUGCAGCUAAGAAUUUGGAGGUUACUGAAGGAGGUUACUUUUUCAAGAGCAGAAGUAAGGAUUCCACUGAAUUUGCUCACCAAAGAUAAGUCAGCAAAGAAAACUUACUGAAGAAUACAGACAGCAUAUCAGCUCCUGCUUUCCAGACAAACUUCCUGGGUCUUGGGAAGAAGAAAGCCUCAGACUAAGAACUCUCUCUGGACUCAGACAGCCUGAAUUCAAAUCCCAUCUCUAUUCUUACUAGUCAUAUGAACACAGGCAAGUCAUUUAACUUCUUUGUGUCUCAGUUUUCUUAUAUAUAAAAUGGGAAUAAUAUAAC
rnacentral:lncRNA from 1 species